CCUACGGGAGGCAGCAGUGGGGAAUUUUGGACAAUGGGCGCAAGCCUGAUCCAGCAAUGCCGCGUGAGUGAAGAAGGCCUUCGGGUUGUAAAGCUCUUUUGUCAGGGAAGAAACGGUGGGAGCUAAUAUCUCCCGCUAAUGACGGUACCUGAAGAAUAAGCACCGGCUAACUACGUGCCAGCAGCCGCGGUAAUACGUGGGGUGCAAGCGUUAAUCGGAAUUACUGGGCGUAAAGCGUGCGCAGGCGGUUUUGUAAGUCUGUCGUGAAAGCCCCGGGCUCAACCUGGGAAUUGCGAUGGAGACUGCAAGGCUUGAAUCUGGCAGAGGGGGGUAGAAUUCCACGUGUAGCAGUGAAAUGCGUAGAGAUGUGGAGGAACACCGAUGGCGAAGGCAGCCCCCUGGGUCAAGAUUGACGCUCAUGCACGAAAGCGUGGGGAGCAAACAGGAUUAGAUACCCUGGUAGUCCACGCCCUAAACGAUGUCUACUAGUUGUCGGGCUUUAAUAACUUGGUAACGCAGCUAACGCGUGAAGUAGACCGCCUGGGGGAGGACGGUCGUCGAGAGUUAAACGUACGAAGAAGUAGNGNGNGNGAGNGCGACGGACGACGACGAGGGAGGAGG
rnacentral:rRNA from 1 species